AGCGAACGCUGGCGGCAUGCUUAACACAUGCAAGUCGCGCGGGUGGUUUCGGCCAUCAGCGGCGGACGGGUGAGUAUCGCGUAGGAAUGUAUCCCGAGGUGGGGGACAACCCUGGGAAACUGGGGCUAAUACCGCAUGGGGCCUGUGGGUCAAAGCCUUAGGGCGCCUUGGGAGCAGCCUGCGUCCGAUUAGGUAGUUGGUGGGGUAAAGGCCUACCAAGCCUGCGAUCGGUAGCUGGUCUGAGAGGACGAUCAGCCACACUGGGACUGAGACACGGCCCAGACGCAUACGGGAGGAAGCAGUGGGGAAUAUUGGACAAUGGGCGCAAGCCUGAUGCAGCAAUGCCGCGUGGGUGAAGAAGGUCUUCGGAUUGUAAAGCCCUUUCGGCGGGGACGAUGAUGACGGUACCCGCAGAAGAAGCCCCGGCUAACUUCGUG
rnacentral:rRNA from 1 species